CCGGGGAUCCGUAGCUAAGAUGGGCCUAUAUAACAUUCAGCUCCAGUUUUAGAAUAUUCUGAUCUUGGAUACGUCAUCAGCUAUGUCAAUUCACUCAUUCGUCAUGCUGCAUGAUCGUUUCCGUAAGAAUUGACAUUGUCAUUGUGGAAAGAAGUGGAAAAAAUGAACAGAGUCAGAGGAACACAAUACUAACGAUUUCCAUGGGUCAAUCAUCACAUAUUACCGGUAUCCAGUCAUAGUUCAGUGUAAUGUUGUGAUUCGAAGACACCUAAGCUAUGCUAUGUGUGAUCAGCGAGAUUCACUGUCACGUUUUAGACACGAAUAAAGGAACAACGUGACUCGGUAAACAUGGACUAAAGUAUCAUUUAUUAAGAUGUCUUGCAUCUUUACACUGGCGACGAGGAUCAGAAGCUCCACCAGCGAUUUUGGUCUGCCUAAUUCUGAGAGUGAUAAUGAUCAGCUCAAUACCGAGAAUGAUGUCCAUGCAAACCAACCAAAGACGUGUUCUACCUUCAAGCAGACAAGUAUUGGUGAUUGUGAAACAGCAGGUUCUUCUACAUCAGGGGUAUUACCUUCCUCAAAGAA